GAGGGUGUAGCUCAAGUGGCAGAGCGCAUGCUUAGCAGGCACAAGGUUCUGGGUUCAAUCCCCAGUACUCCUCU
rnacentral:tRNA from 1 species